GAUGAACGCUGGCGGCGUGCCUAAUACAUGCAAGUCGAGCGAACAGACGAGGAGCUUGCUCCUCUGACGUUAGCGGCGGACGGGUGAGUAACACGUGGAUAACCUACCUAUAAGACUGGGAUAACUUCGGGAAACCGGAGCUAAUACCGGAUAAUAUAUUGAACCGCAUGGUUCAAUAGUGAAAGACGGUUUUGCUGUCACUUAUAGAUGGAUCCGCGCCGCAUUAGCUAGUUGGUAAGGUAACGGCUUACCAAGGCAACGAUGCGUAGCCGACCUGAGAGGGUGAGCGGCCACACGGGAACUGAGACACGGUCCAGACUCCUACGGGAGGCAGCAGUAGGGAAUCUUCCGCAAUGGGCGAAAGCCUGACGGAGCAACGCAGCGUGAGUGAUGAAGGUCUUCGGAUCGUAAAACUCUGUUAUUAGGGAAGAACAAAUGUGUAAGUAACUAUGCACGUCUUGACGGUACCUAAUCAGAAAGCCACGGCUAACUACGUG
rnacentral:rRNA from 1 species